GACGAACCGUCCAGACGUUAUUCGGAAUCACUGGGCUUACAGAGUUCGUAGGCGGUCUGGAAAGUUGGGUGUGAAAUCCCUCGGCUCAACCGAGGAACUGCGCUCAAAACUACCCGACUCGAGGGAGAUAGAGGAAAGCGGAACUGAUGGUGGAGCGGUGAAAUGCGUUGAUAUCAGAAGGAACGCCGGUGGCGAAAGCGACGAACUGGACCUCUUCUGACGCUGAGGCGCGAAAGCUAGGGGAGCAAACGGG
rnacentral:rRNA from 1 species